CUUGAACUGAAACAUGAGCUCUUCCUUGAUGUCAAGCCUGCUGCCAUCAGACUGGAACGAAACCAUCAGCUCUCAUGGUACUCCAGCUUGCUGACUUACCCUGCAGAUCUUGGGGUUUAACAGCCUCCAUAAUCAUGAAACAGGAUCUUCUUGGAGAGCUAGUCCAUAAACCAUACUCGGUGGAGGUGGUGGCAGUAAGCCAGACUGAAUGUGAGAUGGAAGGGUUUGUGAGUUCCCAGAACGCCAGCCAAGGUGACCUGGAGUUCCCUCGAGUGGCCACUUCAUCGAUUUGUUUUACUUUCCCUGAAGGAAGAUGGUGUGAACAGGUGGAGGAUAAAAGCCUAGAAAAUCAAUAAGGAUCCCAAAGCAGUGAAAAAAGCAGAUCCCAUUUGAAAAGCAGCAAAAAAAUGAAAACUAUUUAGAAAUAAACUGAAAGAGAGGUACAAAUCUUUUAGAAUAAAACUAUGAAAACUUUUCGUAGUAUAUAUCAUUGGGGCAUCUGCUCAACGCAUUCCCUUCUUCUCUGAGAAUCUCAAUCACCACCCCUAAGCAAAUCGGUCUGCAGAGAAAGAAGAAAACAGCAUAUGUGUGGAAAGAGGCAGAAGCAGUGGCUAUUUAUCUGGCUGCGGGAUAGGAAGGACUUCCCAAACCUGAAAGCAUGGAAGAGACUACACAAGAAAAGAUGAAUGAAGUUGACUACAUAAAAAUAAAACACUUGUGCAUCAGAAAAAUUCUACAAGGACACGCAAAUGAAAACUAAUUGGUGACAAAUAUGACAAAGAGCUAAUAUACCUUAUCUAGAAAGAGUCCUCACAAAUCAAAAAACAGCCCAAAUAGAACAGGAACAGACAAAUCACACAAAAAAGAAAUACAAAUAACCGACAAACUUAAGAAAAAUCUCAAAAAUCACAGAAAACACUUAAGAAGACCAAACCUAGGCUGGGCGCGGUGGCUCAAGCCUGUAAUCCCAGCACUUUGGGAGGCCGAGGCGGGUGGAUCACGAGGUCAAGAGAUCGAGACCCUCUUGGUCAACAUGAUGAAACCCCGUCUCUACUAAAAAUACAAAAAAUUAGCUGGGCAUGGUGGUGCGUGCCUGUAAUCCCAGCUACUCAGGAGGCUGAGGCAGGAGAAUUGCCUGAACCCAGGAGGCGGAGGUUGCGGUGAGCCGAGAUGGCGCCAUUGCACUCCAGCCUGGGUGAAAAGAGCGAAACUCCGUCUCAAAAAAAAAAAAAAAAAAGAAGACCAAACCUAAUAUUUAUCAGUGCUCUAAAAGAGGGGAUACUUUCUAAACCUUAAUAUGACCUCAAGAUAGAUCACAAAGAUUUUCUUCAAUUUGAUAAGCAGAUAUACAGAUUUGACUUAAAAAUUUUUUAAUCACAUACAUUCCAGAGGAAUGGGAAAAAAUCUAAGGUUACAAAGCCAUAAGGAGGAUGUGCUCUGAAAUGGAGAUCUAUUUGAUUGGUAUAACUUACCAAAAUGCAGCCGGGCUCUUCUCCAGCCUGAAAAACAAGAAAGAGGGAUCAUUAAAGCACUAGAGAUGACCAGGCACAGUGGCUCAUGCCUAUAAUCCCAGCACUUUGGGAGGUUGAGGUGGGGGAGAUCACUUGAGGUCGGGAGUUCAAAACCAGCCUGACCAACAUGGAGAAACCCCAUCUCUACUAAAAAUACAAAAUUAGCUGGGUAUGGUGGCACAUACCUGUAAUCCCAGCUGCUUGGGAGGCUGAGGCAGGAGAACUGCUUGAACCCAGGAGGUGGAGGUUGCAGUGAGCCGAGAUCAUGCCAUUGCACUCCAGCCUGGGUAACAAGAGCGAAACUCCAUUUCAAAAAAAAAAAAAAAAAGCAGCACUGAGAACUCCCUAGG